CUGAUUUGUGUUUUGCAAGGCCUUCCUCUAAGAAAGAAGACAAAGAAACAAUGUCUUAGCCUUACCAUCAUAGCCACAUUACAGCUACUCUGUAUACCUGCCAAUCUGUUUAGUCUCAUAACACACACACACACACACACACACACACACACAGAGUAGGUGAUAAGUUUAUGUUUCUAAUAGGCAAAUAUAUCAUAGUAAAGCUGAUUACUCAUAUAGUAACAUUGUUAAGUUUAAGUGAGAGGGACAGUUUAUGAGAGUCAAGAAUGUUUUUGAAGAGAAAACUUAAUUCUUAUACCAUAUGUCUAUGAUGAACAAAAAAUCAAACUGUAUGAAUGAUGCAAUGUGGAAAUAUUUCAUUUGUUAUUUUAACAGCUAUAUCCUGUGUCACAAUGGAUACAAGCCAUGUGAGCACAAGGAUAUUGAAAGAAGCAAUGUCUCCCCACCCCCAGAACAAUUAAGAUAUAUGUAGUAGUCCACAUUUGAGCAGACUUUCUCAGUGUGAUACAAGUUUAUAAUUAGUUGGUUUCCCAACUUCAUUGGGAAUAUAUCCAUAAAGUCACAUAGCAGAAAAUCCCUAUGAAUACUAGGAUUGUGGAAAUUCCUUUCUGUUUGUCCUGGUUCACUUUGCUGAUGUGGUAUGCAAACGUAGUGUAUUUCACAAUAAUGGAAAGCAUAUGAAUGU
rnacentral:lncRNA from 1 species